rnacentral:rRNA from 1 species
UACGUAGGGGGCAAGCGUUGUCCGGAAUCAUUGGGCGUAAAGAGCGUGUAGGCGGCCAUUUAAGUCCUGCGUGAAAUCCUGCGGCUCAACCGCAGGCGGUCGUGGGAAACUGGAUGGCUAGAGUGCGGGAGAGGAGAGUGGAAUUCCUGGUGUAGCGGUGGAAUGCGCAGAUAUCAGGAAGAACACCCGUGGCGAAGGCGGCUCUCUGGAACGCAACUGACGCUGAGACGCGAAAGCGUGGGGAGCAAACAGG